rnacentral:rRNA from 1 species
GACGAACGCUGGCGGCGUGCUUAACACAUGCAAGUCGAACGGAAAGGCCCUGCUUUUGUGGGGUGCUCGAGUGGCGAACGGGUGAGUAACACGUGAGUAACCUGCCCUUGACUUUGGGAUAACUUCAGGAAACUGGGGCUAAUACCGGAUAGGAGCUCCUGCUGCAUGGUGGGGGUUGGAAAGUUUCGGCGGUUGGGGAUGGACUCGCGGCUUAUCAGCUUGUUGGUGGGGUAGUGGCUUACCAAGGCUUUGACGGGUAGCCGGCCUGAGAGGGUGACCGGCCACAUUGGGACUGAGAUACGGCCCAGACUCCUACGGGAGGCAGCAGUGGGGAAUAUUGCACAAUGGGCGGAAGCCUGAUGCAGCCAUGCCGCGUGCAGGAUGAAGGCCUUUGGGUUGUAAACUGCUUUUGUACGGAACGAAAAGCCUCUUUCUAAUAAAGAGGGGUCAUGACGGUACCGUAAGAAUAAGCACCGGCUAACUACGUG